AGUAGUGGGGGAUAGCCCGGCGAAAGCCGGAUUAAUACCGCAUACGACCUACGGGUGAAAGCGGGGGAUCGCAAGACCUCGCGCUAUUGGAGCGGCCGAUGUCAGAUUAGCUAGUUGGUGGGGUAAAAGCCUACCAAGGCGACGAUCUGUAGCUGGUCUGAGAGGACGACCAGCCACACUGGGACUGAGACACGGCCCAGACUCCUACGGGAGGCAGCAGUGGGGAAUUUUGGACAAUGGGGGCAACCCUGAUCCAGCCAUGCCGCGUGCGGGAAGAAGGCCUUCGGGUUGUAAACCGCUUUUGUCAGGGAAGAAACGGUCUGCGCUAAUACCGCGGACUAAUGACGGUACCUGAAGAAUGAGCACCGGCUAACUACGUGCCAGCAGCCGCGGUAAUACGUAGGGUGCAAGCGUUAAUCGGAAUUACUGGGCGUAAAGCGUGCGCAGGCGGCUUUGCAAGACAGAUGUGAAAUCCCCGGGCUCAACCUGGGAACUGCAUUUGUGACUGCAUGGCUGGAGUGCGGCAGAGGGGGAUGGAAUUCCGCGUGUAGCAGUGAAAUGCGUAGAUAUGCGGAGGAACACCGAUGGCGAAGGCAAUCCCCUGGGCCUGCACUGACGCUCAUGCACGAAAGCGUGGGGAGCAAACAGGAUUAGAUACCCUGGUAGUCCACGCCCUAAACGAUGUCAACUGGUUGUUGGACGGCUUGCUGUUCAGUAACGAAGCUAACGCGUGAAGUUGACCGCCUGGGGAGUACGGCCGCAAGGUUGAAACUCAAAUGAAUUGACGGGGACCCGCACAAGCGGUGGAUGAUGUGGUUUAAUUCGAUGCAACGCGAAAAACCUUACCUACCCUUGACAUGUCUAGAAGUUUCCAGAGAUGGAUUCGUGCUCGAAAGAGAACUAGAACACAGGUGCUGCAUGGCCGUCGUCAGCUCGUGUCGUGAGAUGUUGGGUUAAGUCCCGCAACGAGCGCAACCCUUAUCAUUAGUUGCUACGCAAGGGCACUCUAAUGAGACUGCCGGUGACAAACCGGAGGAAGGUGGGGAUGACGUCAGGUCAUCAUGGCCCUUAUGGGUAGGGCUACACACGUCAUACAAUGGCCGGUACAGAGGGCUGCCAACCCGCGAGGGGGAGCUAAUCUCAGAAAACCGGUCGUAGUCCGGAUCGCAGUCUGCAACUCGACUGCGUGAAGUCGGAAUCGCUAGUAAUC
rnacentral:rRNA from 1 species